UGGACCAGACUUUGAUUAUGGCUCAGGAUGAACGCUGGCGGCAUGCCUAAGACAUGCAAGUCGAACGGAGCGGCCCAUUGAAAUGGAGUGCUUGCACAAAGUGGAUUUGGAUUCCCGCUUAGUGGCGAAAGGGUGAGUAACACGUGGGUUAUCUACCUCAGAGACUGGAAUAACAAUUGGAAACGAUUGCUAAUGCCGGAUGAUAUAUAAAACGAUACGUUGUUUUAUAUUAAAAGGAGCCUUUAAAGCUUCACUUUGAGAUGAGCCCGCGGCGUAUUAGCUAGUUGGUGAGGUAAUGGCCCACCAAGGCAACGAUGCGUAGCCGGCCUGAGAGGGUGAUCGGCCACAUUGGGACUGAGACACGGCCCAAACUCCUACGGGAGACAGCAGUUAGGAAUAUUCGUCAAUGGGGGAAACCCUGAACGAGCAAUGCCGCGUGAGUGAUGACGGUCCUUUGGAUUGUAAAACUCUGUUGUUAGGGAAGAACGACCUGUAUAGGAAAUGAUGCAGGAGUGGCGGUACCUUUCAAGAAAGCUCCGGCUAACUACGUGCCAGCAGCCGCGGUAAUACGUAGGGAGCGAGCGUUAUCCGGAUUUAUUGGGUGUAAAGCGUGUGUAGGCGGUUUAUUAAGUCUGAGGUUUAAUCCCGGAGCUUAACUCCGGUUCGCCUCAGAAACUGAUUUACUUGAGUAUGGUAGAGGCAAGUGGAAUUUCUAGUGUAGCGGUAAAAUGCGUAGAUAUUAGAAGGAACACCAGUGGCGAAGGCGACUUGCUGGGCCAUCACUGACGCUGAGACACGAAAGCGUGGGGAGCAAAUAGGAUUAGAUACCCUAGUAGUCCACGCCGUAAACGAUGGAUACUAAGUGUCGGGUAACCGGUGCUGAAGUUAACACAUUAAGUAUCCCACCUGAGUAGUACGGUCGCAAGGCUGCAACUCAAAUGAAUUGACGGA
rnacentral:rRNA from 1 species